UCUCACCGGCUAAGGGUUGACUCAGCCUUCCAUCUUUUCGAGAUGAUUCAAAAAUAAGGGAGAUAAUAAACAUCUUAUAGAAGACUGUCAAGACUCAUCGGGAUCAUGGCAGGCCAGAACAUGUACCCAAAGCGAGAAGAUGAAGGUCUACAGGAACAAAUGCAGAUAAUGCUACACUUAGAGAUAUAGUAUGAAGAUUAGAAGAAUUAUUAUUAUUCUUUGCAUUGGUCAGAACACACUUGGAAUAUUUACCUAGUUCUGGAUACGAGGAAGGAUUGGAAGAGAACAACCGAGAUGAUUAAAAACCUAGAAGAAAACAAGGAAGAAAUGGUGGAGACGCUGAGCAUGUUCAUUCUGUAGAAAAGAAGGAUUUGGGGAGACAUCUUCAAAUUUCUUAGGAUCUGACACAUGGAAAACAAAAUUAUUCAGAACAUGGAAUAAAAAACAAUGCAUUUAAAUUAUAAAGAAGUAGAAUUCAUUUGGGCCUCAGGAAAAGUUUCUGAACAGUAAGAUCUGUUCAGCAAUAGAACAGACUGCUUGAGGAGGUUGUGGACUCCUGAGGAAGUGAAGAUAUUUAAGCUAGGGCUAGAUAAACAUCUAACUGGAUGCUGUAGUGAUGGAUUUCUGUACUGGACAGCAGGUUGGACCACGUGAUCACCAAAGUCCCUUCAAACGCUGAUAUUUUACAAUUCUAUUAUUUGAUUUUUUUUAAAAAACAACUCUUUAUGUGAUAUAUAGAAAAGUAGCAAAUUAAGCAGAAAAAUGUGUGAUUAUACACAAAUGUUGCUAACUAUAUAAUGGAUAUAGAAAAAUCCCAUUUAUUCAUCAUCAUAAAAAAGGAAAACUAAAGUU